rnacentral:misc_RNA from 1 species
AACGCACCUUGCGCCCUUUGGUAUUCCGAAGGGCAUGCCUGUUUGAGUGUCAUUAAAUUCUCAACCUUACCAGCUUUGUCUGUUGUGAGGCUUGGAUGUGAGGGCUUGCCGGCUUCCUUCAGUGGAUGGUCAGCUCCCUUGAAAUGCAUUAGUGGGAUCCUUUGUGGACGGUCACUUGGUGUGAUAAUUAUCUACGCCGCUUGACUGCGAAGCAAACCUUGUGGGAACCCGCUCAUAACUGUCUUCGGACAAUUAUUUUGACAAUUUGACCUCAAAUCAGGUAGGACUACCCGCUGAACUUAA